rnacentral:rRNA from 1 species
GACGAACGCUGGCGGCGUNCUAACACAUGCAAGUCGNACGNNGUCCAUGGAGNGNCAACACUUNGGAAGACCUAGUGGCGAACGGGUGAGUAACACGUGAGAAACUUGCCCCGGAGANNGGGAUANCCCUCCGAAAGGAGAGCUAAUACCGGAUGUCCUCGCUGAGUCGCAUGGCUCGGNGAAGAAAUNGNUUCCGCUCCGGGAGAGUCUCGCGGCNUAUCAGCUAGUUGGCGGGGUAACGGCCCACCAAGGCAUCGNCGGGUAGNUGNUCUGAGAGGACGAUCAGCCACANUGGGACUGAGACACGNCCCAGACUCCUACGNGAGNCAGCAGUGGGAAUCUUGCGCAAUGGGCGAAAGCCUGACGCAGCAACGCCGCGUGCGGGAUGAAGGCCUUCGGGUUGUAAACCGCUUUCAGUGGGGACGAACCAAGNCGGUACCCACAGAAGAAGCCCCGGCCAACUACGUGCCAGCAGCCGCGGUAACACGUAGGGGGCAAGCGUUGUCCGGAUUCAUUGGGCGUAAAGAGCUCGUAGGCGGUUCGAUAAGUCGGGUGUGAAACCUCCAGGCUCAMCCUGGAGACGCCACCCGAUACUGUCGUGACUAGAGUCCAGUAGGGGAGCGUGGAAUUCCUGGUGUAGCGGUGAAAUGCGCAGAUAUCAGGAGGAACNCCAGUGGCGAAGGCGGCGCUCUGGGCUGGAACUGACGCUGAGGAGCGAAAGCGUGGGGAGCGAACAGGAUUAGAUACCCUGGUAGUCCACGCCGUAAACGUUGGGUACUAGGUGUGGGGUCUUAUCAACGGAUUCCGUGCCGAAGCUAACGCAUUAAGUACCCCGCCUGGGGAGUACGGCCGCAAGGCUAAA